rnacentral:rRNA from 1 species
GACGAACGCUGGCGGCGUGCUUAACACAUGCAAGUCGAGCGGUAAGGCCUUUCGGGGUACACGAGCGGCGAACGGGUGAGUAACACGUGGGUGAUCUGCCCUGCACUUCGGGAUAAGCCUGGGAAACUGGGUCUAAUACCGGAUAUGACCUCCUAUCGCAUGGUGGGUGGUGGAAAGAUUUAUCGGUGCAGGAUGGGCCCGCGGCCUAUCAGCUUGUUGGUGGGGUAAUGGCCUACCAAGGCGACGACGGGUAGCCGACCUGAGAGGGUGACCGGCCAAACUGGGACUGAGACACGGCCCAGACUCCUACGGGAGGCAGCAGUGGGGAAUAUUGCACAAUGGGCGAAAGCCUGAUGCAGCGACGCCGCGUGAGGGAUGACGGCCUUCGGGUUGUAAACCUCUUUCAGCAGGGACGAAGCGCAAGUGACGGUACCUGCAGAAGAAGCACCGGCUAACUACGUG